rnacentral:lncRNA from 1 species
GGAAACCCCUUGAGGUUAAGACCCCACAAUCACAUGAGGAUGGAGUGGCUCACCCUCAGUCAACAGGCCAGACUCAAGGGGUUCCUGGCAAGUCAUUUCUCCCUCAGACCUUCGGUUUCCUCACCUACAAGAUGAGAGGGCUGGACCAGAUGGAAAUUCGGGG